UUUUAAUUGGAAUUUUAUAAGGUUAGAAUUUUACUUUUGGUCUAAAAAUGUCAUCAUCUUUCUUGCACUUAGGUCAUUAUGUCGUCUGAAGACAGUGACUCCUAAAAUUUAAUGCAUACACCUAGUCCAGAGCGAAAUGUGGACAGUCUCCCCGGAGCGCCAAGCAUGGAGGUAAAUUCGCCCGAAUUUUCCCCAGACCCAGGCUUAAGUCAGGCAACAACUAUGAGUGAAGU